rnacentral:rRNA from 1 species
CAUCUAGGCCAUACCACCCUGAACACAUCUGAUCUCAUCUGACCUCAGAAGCUAAGCAUGGUCAGGACUGGAUUAGUACUUGGAUGG